rnacentral:rRNA from 1 species
AUGCACCGAAGCUGCGGCAGCGACGUUUAUGCGUUGUUGGGUAGGGGAGCGUUCUGUAAGCCUGCGAAGGUGGCCUGUGAGGGUUGCUGGAGGUAUCAGAAGUGCGAAUGCUGACAUAAGUAACGAUAAAGCGGGUGAAAAGCCCGCUCGCCGGAAGACCAAGGGUUCCUGUCCAACGUUAAUCGGGGCAGGGUGAGUCGACCCCUAAGGCGAGGCCGAAAGGCGUAGUCGAUGGGAAACGGGUUAAUAUUCCCGUACUUGGUGUUACUGCGAAGGGGGGACGGAGAAGGCUAUGUUGGCCGGGCGACGGUUGUCCCGGUUUAAGCGUGUAGGUGUGUGUUCCAGGUAAAUCCGGUUCACUUUAACACUGAGGCGUGAUGACGAGGCACUACGGUGCUGAAGCAACAAAUGCCCUGCUUCCAGGAAAAGCCUCUAAGCAUCAGGUAACACGAAAUCGUACCCCAAACCGACACAGGUGGUCAGGUAGAGAAUACCAAGGCGCUUGAGAGAACUCGGGUGAAGGAACUAGGCAAAAUGGUGCCGUAACUUCGGGAGAAGGCACGCUGACACGUAGGUGAAGUGAUUUACUCAUGGAGCUGAAGUCAGUCGAAGAUACCAGCUGGCUGCAACUGUUUAUUAAAAACACAGCACUGUGCAAACACGAAAGUGGACGUAUACGGUGUGACGCCUGCCCGGUGCCGGAAGGUUAAUUGAUGGGGUCAGCGCAAGCGAAGCUCCUGAUCGAAGCCCCGGUAAACGGCGGCCGUAACUAUAACGGUCCUAAGGUAGCGAAAUUCCUUGUCGGGUAAGUUCCGACCUGCACGAAUGGCGUAAUGAUGGCCAGGCUGUCUCCACCCGAGACUCAGUGAAAUUGAACUCGCUGUGAAGAUGCAGUGUACCCGCGGCAAGACGGAAAGACCCCGUGAACCUUUACUAUAGCUUGACACUGAACAUUGAGCCUUGAUGUGUAGGAUAGGUGGGAGGCUUUGAAGUGUGGACGCCAGUCUGCAUGGAGCCGGCCUUGAAAUACCACCCUUUAAUGUUUGAUGUUCUAACGUGGACCCGUUACCCGGGUUGCGGACAGUGUCUGGUGGGUAGUUUGACUGGGGCGGUCUCCUCCUAAAGAGUAACGGAGGAGCACGAAGGUUGGCUAAUCCUGGUCGGACAUCAGGAGGUUAGUGCAAUGGCAUAAGCCAGCUUGACUGCGAGCGUGACGGCGCGAGCAGGUGCGAAAGCAGGUCAUAGUGAUCCGGUGGUUCUGAAUGGAAGGGCCAUCGCUCAACGGAUAAAAGGUACUCCGGGGAUAACAGGCUGAUACCGCCCAAGAGUUCAUAUCGACGGCGGUGUUUGGCACCUCGAUGUCGGCUCAUCACAUCCUGGGGCUGAAGUAGGUCCCAAGGGUAUGGCUGUUCGCCAUUUAAAGUGGUACGCGAGCUGGGUUUAGAACGUCGUGAGACAGUUCGGUCCCUAUCUGCCGUGGGCGCUGGAGAACUGAGGGGGGCUGCUCCUAGUACGAGAGGACCGGAGUGGACGCAUCACUGGUGUUCGGGUUGUCAUGCCAAUGGCACUGCCCGGUAGCUAAAUGCGGAAGAGAUAAGUGCUGAAAGCAUCUAAGCACGAAACUUGCCCCGAGAUGAGUUCUCCCUGAGACUUAGAGUCUCCUGAAGGAACGUUGAAGACGACGACGUUGAUAGGCCGGGUGUGUAAGCGCAGCGAUGCGUUGAGCUAACCGGUACUAAUGAACCGUGAGGCUUAACCUUACAACGCCGAAG